GUGUAGAGGCGGCAGGGUAGCCUAGUGGUUAGAGUGUAGAGGCGGCAGGGUAGCCUAGUGGUUAGAGUGUAGAGGCGGCAGGGUAGCCUAGUGGUUAGAGUGUAGAGGUGGCAGGGUAGCCUAGUGGUUAGAGUGUAGGGGCGGCAGGGUAGCCUAGUGGUUAGAGUGUAGAGGUGGCAGGGUAGCCUAGUGGUUAGAGUGUAGAGGUGGCAGGGUAGCCUAGUGGUUAGAGUGUAGAGGCAGCAGGGUAGCCUAGUGGUUAGAGUGUAGAGGCAGCAGGGUAGCCUAGUGGUUAGAGUGUAGAGGUGGCAGGGUAGCCUAGUGGUUAGAGUGUAGAGGCAGCAGGGUAGCCUAGUGGUUAGAGUGAAGAGGUGGCAGGGUAGCCUAGUGGUUAGAGUGUAGAGGCGGCAGGGUAGCCUAGUGGUUAGAGUGUAGAGGCGGCAGGGUAGCCUAGUGGUUAGAGUGUAGAGGCGGCAGGGUAGCCUAGUGGUUAGAGUGUAGAGGCGGCAGGGUAGCCUAGCGGUUAGAGUGUAGAGGCGGCAGGGUAGCCUAGGGGUUAGAGUGUAGAGGCGGCAGGGUAGCCUAGGGGUUAGAGUGUAGAGGCGGCAGGGUAGCCUAGCGGUUAGAGUGUAGAGGCGGCAGGGUAGCCUAGCGGUUAGAGUGUAGAGGCGGCAGGGUAGCCUAGCGGUUAGAGUGUAGAGGCGGCAGGGUAGCCUAGCGGUUAGAGUGUAGAGGCGGCAGGGUAGCCUAGCGGUUAGAGUGUAGAGGCGGCAGGGUAGUCUAGCGGUUAGAGUGUAGAGGCGGCAGGGUAGCCUAGCGGUUAGAGUGUAGAGGCGGCAGGGUAGCCUAGCGGUUAGAGUGUAGAGGAGAUAGGGUAGCCUAGUGGUUAGAGUGUAGAGGCGGCAGGGUAGCCUAGUGGUUAGAGUGUAGAGGCGGCAGGGUAGCCUAGUGGUUAGAGUGUAGAGGUGGCAGGGUAGCCUAGUGGUUAGAGUGUAGAGGCUGCAGGGUAGCCUAGUGGUUAGAGUGUAGAGGUGGCAGGGUAGCCUAGUGGUUAGAGUGUAGAGGCGGCAGGGUAGCCUAGUGGUUAGAGUGUAGAGGCGGCAGGGUAGCCUAGUGGUUAGAGUGUAGAGGCGGCAGGGUAGCCUAGUGGUUAGAGUGUAGAGGUGGCAGGGUAGCCUAGUGGUUAGAGUGUAGAGGCGGCAGGGUAGCCUAGUGGUUAGAGUGUAGAGGCGGCAGGGUAGCCUAGUGGUUAGAGUGUAGAGGCGGCAGGGUAGCCUAGUGGUUAGAGUGUAGAGGCGGCAGGGUAGCCUAGUGGUUAGAGUGUAGAGGCGGCAGGGUAGCCUAGUGGUUAGAGUGUAGAGGCGGCAGGGUAGCCUAGUGGUUAGAGUGUAGAGGCGGCAGGGUAGCCUAGUGGUUAGAGUGUAGAGGCAGCAGGGUAGCCUAGUGGUUAGAGUGUAGAGGCAGCAGGGUAGCCUAGUGGUUAGAGUGUAGAGGCGGCAGGGUAGCCUAGUGGUUAGAGUGUAGAGGCGGCAGGGUAGCCUAGUGGUUAGAGUGUAGAGGCGGCAGGGUAGCCUAGUGGUUAGAGUGUAGAGGCGGCAGGGUAGCCUAGUGGUUAGAGUGUAGAGGCGGCAGGGUAGUCUAGUGGUUAGAGUGUAGAGGCGGCAGGGUAGU